CUCCCACACUCUCUAUCCCUCUCUCUCUCUCUCUCUCUCUCUCUCUCUCUCUCUCUCCAAACUCACAUGUCUCCUGCUCUCUUCUGCUGCUCACCAGUACUUGCUAACACUUCCUCUCUCAAACUCACCUCCCUUGACACACCCCACAAUCCCCCUCCCUCCUCCGACAAGCCAUGGCUCGCCGGCGGUGGCGCCGCCGCAAGCAGUGAAGAUGCCCACCGCUCCCUGGAUGACAGGCCCCCUCCUCCUCCCCCCCGACCAUGUCCUCGACUUCUCCCAGAAGCAGAAGCCGAAGCAGAAGCAGAAGCGGGGCGAAGGAGACGCCUCCUCCCUCACCGCGACGGUCCACGGCGGCCGUAGCCGCCACGCGAUGCGCGGGAUCGUCCGCAGCAUCCGCUCCCUCGGCGACGCCGCCCCCGCGGCGGCGGAGGCGGGGGACGAGGUGGCGGCGCCGGAGAGGCCGCCGCGGCCGUGGGCGGGGGCGGGGGAGGAGACGCUGGUGUUCGGGAGGGAGAAGAAGGCGAGGGCGCCGCCGACGGCGGCGGAGCGGAGGCUUCCGGCGGCGGAGCUGGCGCGGCUGAGGUCGGCGGCGAGGGGGACGGAGCGGCGGUGGGUGCGGGCGAAGAAGGCCGGGUUGACUCCGGAGGUGGUGGAGGAGAUUGCUAGGGUUUGGAGGACGCGCGAGCUCGCCGCGGUCAGGAUCGUCGAGCCGCUGCGCCGCAACAUGGAUCGCGCGAGGGAGAUCGUCGAGGCAAAAACAGGAGGAUUGGUAGUUUGCACCAAGAGAGAUAUUCUUGUUGCUUACAAAGGACCUGGUGAAAAACUACUAGAUGAUAUUAGGGACAGCAAUUGUAUGUCCCCGACGAAUUAUAAUCGAAAUGAGAGUAAAAAGGAAAAUUUAGAGCCCCGCGGGACGCUUUAUGAGAGAGAAACCAACAGAUUGCUGGAUGGUUUAGGCCCGCGGUUUAUCGAUUGGUGGUGGAAAAAGCCGUUGCCUGUCGAUGCAGAUCUACUCCCGGAAGUCGUUCCGGACUUCAGGACUCUGUUCCGACAGUGCCCUCCUGGAGUGAGACCGCAGCUGAGAGAUAAUGAGUUAACGUAUCUACGAAUGCUCGCACGCCCUUUGCCAACGCAUUUUGCCCUAGGUAAGAACAAAGGACUUGAAGGCUUGGCUGCUGCAAUUUUGAAGCUUUGGGAGAAAAGUCUCGUCGCAAAAAUUGCUGUAAAAGUCGGAAUUCCUGACACCAAUAAUGAGCUAAUGGCAUGCGAACUUAAGCGUCUUACAGGAGGAGUACUGAUACUGAGAAAUAAAUUUUUCAUCAUCCUAUAUAGAGGGAAAGAUUUCCUGCCUGGUAGAGUUGCCGAUUCCAUUAUUGAAAGAGAAACAGUGCUUUAUGACCAACAACUAGCAGAAGAGGAAGCUCGAUCAAAGGCAGCUGCAACAUUUCAAUUGGUCGAUGGAUUACUAUCGAACCCAUGUUCUAUCGGGACUUUCCGAGAAUACCAAGAAAUUCAAGUGAAUCACAUAGAUAGAAAAACUGAACUUUGUGAGGCCAAGCUGAAAUUGGAGGCUGAAAAAGUGAGGUUGGAGAAGGAAAUCAAAGAGCAGGAGCGUCAGCUUUUCAAUCUUACUAGGAAGAUUGAGAAAUCAGAGAAGGUGUUGGCGAAUCUUAAUAGUUCGCGGAGUUCGUCAGACCAAACUUCUGACCAGGAGCUUUUAACAGAGGAGGAGAGACAGACUUUUCGAACCAUAGGAUUGAAGAUGGAUGAACAUCUGCUGCUUGGAAGGCGUGGCAUUUACGAUGGUGUUAUUGGAAACAUCCACCAACACUGGAAACAUAGAGAGGUGGUGAAAGUGAUUACCAUGCAAAAGGGAAUUCAACAAAUAAGGUACACAGCGAGUCAGCUUGAAAUUGAGAGCGGGGGUACAUUAAUCGCAGUUGAGAAGUUAAGAAGCAGUAAUGCAAUAAUCAUUUACCGUGGAAAGAACUAUCGCCGCCCGUUGAAAUUGUUGCCUGAUAAUCUACUGACAAAAAAGGAAGCGCUAGAGAGAUCAAUCGAGGUUCAACGUCGAGGGUUGGGUUGGCUCUGCUGGCCGGUGACAGUAUCCUGUUUCUGCAAGGCUGCAGAUAUCGUCGAACUCGUCUUGAGAUUCACACCAAGUGCUUUGAGAUUCGAACGAAAUCCUGCACACAAGAUAAUCUGUACCUCGCGGUAGUUUGUGUGAAUCUCGAGGCGAGUUGGACGGCAUCCGUGCCUGCCGGGAUCACUGUUCACUCUGUCCAGAGCGGCCAAUCAACAUCCCCUAUUCCUUUUGUUCUUCUAUUUUUCAGUCGCUGAAAUUUUUUGCACGACAAAGAGAAGAAUCGAUCUGGGAUCUGAAAAGGAGAUUGAGAGAUUUGGAGGAGGAAAUAAGGGAAAUUACUCCCGGCAAAUCCGCGCAUCCCCGUUAACUCCCAUCGGCCUAUCAACGCCCAACUAUUCUCUUUUCGACGAUACUCGACGUGCGCGGCUGCAGAGAUCAGCUUCUCAGCUUCCCGUCGAGAUGAAACGAACAACUGAGAAAGUAAAACUGGAAAUAUUAGAUUUUUUUUCUUCUUCUUCUUUUUUUGUUGCUUGGGUCUGCAUAUUCUUUGUUUUCGUGCCAUAAAGUUUAGAAAUUAUUUAGUAAGCAUAACUGUUGUUACUUUCAUUGUAGCAUCGUUCUUAAAGAAUCAAUGCUGCGUCUGUGCUUUUGUGAUAA